rnacentral:lncRNA from 1 species
UGUGAGGUUUCUUGUGCUCUUAACCACUGAGCCAACACAUGUGCCACCAAUCCCAACUUUAAAUUUUUUAAAAUUAAAUUAUAUUUUGUUUUAUUUUAUUUGUUUGGGUGUUUUGCCUACAUAUGUGCCUGUAUACCACUGUGUGCCUGGUGCAUUAGAAGUCAAACCUGGUUCCUAUGGAAGAGUAGGUAGUGCCCUUAACUACAGAGCCAUCUCUCUAACCCCCUAUACCUUCUAGCUUUUUAAAAUUUAAUUUUAUUUAUUUUUAUCAAUCCCAGCCUUUAUUGGUUUUCUUGACUUUUAUGGCUUAAUUUCUUUGAUGAUUUAUAUUGUCAUUCGAAGGUUUAUGGUUUUGAGACAGGAUCAAACCAGACUUUUAUAUUUCACCAUUCAGUCCUGUCUGGCCUCUGUAGACCAGGCUGCUCUCAGAUUUACAGAGCUCUGCCUACUACUGACUUCCAAGUGCUUGGAUUAAAAGGCUGUACUACCAUUUUGGGCAAGAAUUUAAUUUUUUUUUUUUUUUUUUUUUUUUUGGUCAAGGCAAACUACUCUAUCACUUAGCUUUAUUUCCAGUCCAAGAAGACAAAUUUGACAGCAAAAUUAUUUUCUGUGGUUAUUUCUUUGAAUAUGUAUGUUCCCAUAGACUUGUGUGUUUGAACGUUUGAUUUCUGAUUGGGCUGUUUGGGAAGGCUUAGGAGGUCCAGGCUAGAGGAGGUGUGUCACUGGGAGUGAGCUUGGGGUUUCCAAAGCCCAUGCCAGGCCCAGUGUCCGUCUGCUGCUUGUGGAUGAGGUACACUGUCCCAGCACCACCAUGAUGGUCUUAGACUCAGCCUCUGAAACUGUAAGCAAGCCCCCAACUACAUGUUUCCUUUUGUAAGUUGCUUGGUUAUGGUGUCUCUUCACAGCAAUAGAGCAGUAACUAAGAUAGUUUCUAAAAUUUAAAUAUAUGGUUAACCAACAUUCUUGUUCCCUUUUAGAAUUAUAGCAUUCAGCCGGCCUGUGAGAUACGAAGAUGUGGAGCACAAGGUGACAACAGUCUUUGGGCAGCCUCUUGAUUUGCAUUAUAUGAAUAAUGAGGUAAGAGAGAUGGGUGGGGAAGGGCCAAGAAGGACAGCUAUGCGCAUUUUCUUACAUUUUACCUGAAAAUUUGUUAGUCUGUUUCUUUAAUAUCAUCUGAGAGUUUCCUGUUUCUGGAGCCUCUUACUAAUUGCAAAAAUUUGGGAUUUUUAUUUACCAUAUACGAGAUUAUUUAGCUAUUUUCACCAUCCUUAUUCAGUAACAAGUAGAUCAGAUAUUCCAUGGUGGGGUAAGAUAUAGUACCAGAGCCAAGGCUUUUUUUAUUUGUUUGUUUCUUUAUAUUUUUGUAAUAGAUUUUUGCUGAUGUUGUUUUCCUCAGCACAGCCUUAACAAAAGUGGAAAUUUUAGCAGAGGCUGGGACGGUAUAAGGAGCUAAGGGAUAGAUCAUCUACUACGGUCAUAAAGGGUAAAUUCUUUUAGAGUUAAUUCCGAUUGUAGCUUCUUUCAAAAGUUAGCUUCUAAGCCAGGUGGUGUGGCACACGCUCUUAAUCCCAGCACUUGGGAGGCAGAGGCAGAGGCAGGCAGAUCUCUGAGUUUGAGGUCAGCCUGGUCUACAGUGAGUUCCAGGACAGAGAAACCCUGCCUCAAAAAAAAAAAAAAAAAAAAACC